rnacentral:misc_RNA from 1 species
GAUGAAGAACGUAGCGAAAUGCGAUACGUAAUGUGAAUUGCAGAAUUCAGUGAAUCAUCGAAUCUUUGAACGCACAUUGCGCCUGCCAGCACUCUGGCAGGCAUGCCUGUUCGAGCGUCAUUUCAACCAUCAAGCCCUAGGCUUGCGUUGGAGCCCUGCGGCUGCCGCAGGCCCCUAAAAGCAGUGGCGGGCUCGCUAUCACACCGAGUGCAGUAGAUUACUCUUCGCUCAGGGCGUGUGGCGGGUUCCAGCCGUGAAACCCCCUACUUCUCAAUGUUGACCUCGGAUCAGGUAGGAAUACCCGCUGAACUUAAGCAUAUCAAUAAGCGGAGGA